rnacentral:rRNA from 1 species
AAUAGGCCAUCAGUGGGACAUCAUAGAGGGUGACAAUCCCGUCCUUGAUGCCAAUGUACAAGUCCGUUNCGAUGACUAUNUCAGAGAGUCGAGCAGUUUGGGNUUUGCUGCUUAAACAUGGGAGGUAGAUUCCUUCUAAAGCUAAAUACAGGCGAGAGACCGAUAGAGAACAAGUACCGCAAGGGAAAGAUGAAAUAGAACUCUGUGAAGGGAGUCAAAAGGCGUGAAAUUGUUGCGAGAGAAGCGAUUCAAGUCAGCGUAGCUAGGCCCAUCAAGCUUUAUCGCUUUGGACUAGCUUUGCCAGCGGUCUUGUCCUAGGGACUUGACUUUUGUGAUGCCCAGCCUGGUCUAUACAGGUAGCCCUCCUGGGGGCCAGUGGCAUGGCUGGUGGAAUGGCUUGCAAUCGACCCGUCUUGAAACACGGACCAAGGAGUCUAACAUGUAUGCGAGUAUAAGGGUGGCAAACCCGUAUGCGCAAUGAAAGUGACUUUCGUUGAUUGAGAAUGGCCUGACGACCAGACAAGCAAUACAUGUCCCUCGAACGGCCAUUGCCCAAGUUCCGUGGUAGAACCCACGAACAUGGAGUUGGAGCAUACAUGCUAGGACCCGAAAGAUGGUGAACUAUGCCUGGACAAAGCGAAGCCAAAGGAAACUCUGGUGGAGNCUUGUAGCGAUUCUGACGUGCAAAUCGAUCGUCUGAUCUGGGUAUAGGGGCGAAAGACUAUC